AGGGCCACACCAUGGCAUAUGGAGGUUCCCAGGCCAGGGAUCAAACUGGAGCUACAGCUGCUGGCUUACACCACAGUCGCAGCAAUGCCAGAUCUGAGUCAUAUCUGCAACCUACACCACAGCUCACAGCAAUGCUGGAUCCUUACCCACUGAGCGAGGCAAAGGAUCGUAACUGCAACCUCAUGGUUCCUAGUUGGAUUCUUUUCCUUUGCACCAUGAUGGGAAUUCCCUCUCUUUCUUCUUUUUAUUCUGAUGGGAGAACCAGAGUCAAGGACUAUCCAUUCCACCCUUGCCAUGGACAAAGAACCUUCCCUUUCCAGGGGCCACCAAGAGGCUCUAGGCUCCUCUUGAGACACCCAAGGUCCAGCACUGUGAGGGCCUUGUUCUUUCAGGGUUUGUUCUCUGCAUUUUCAAAGGGAGGUUCCCAAACAGGGAUUUCUGGGCACCCGGGGUGGGGGUGGGGGGUUCUCCUGCCUUUUGGUUUUCCUAGGGCCCAAAUAAACAUGGGAAGGUCACUUAACUCCUCUGUGCCUAUUUCCUCAUCUGACAAGGGGAUUUUAAUAUGACCUGCCUUGUCUUCCUGGUUCUUACAAAGAUUAAACACAAUGACAAGUAUGAAAAUGCCAUAUAAACUGGAAUUUGCUUCAUGAAUGUCAGGUGGCCCUUUCAGUGAACCCUAACCCAAGGCUGUGCUUUGUGAUUGCUCUAUUUCUCCCUAUUGGGAAAUAAGUGCAUGGGAAGGGGCAGCAUGGACUUCAUUCAAUGAGGAAGUUAUUCUCCUUAGGUCCCACUGUAAUUGGGAAGUGUUCUGGAGCAGAAGUCAGGAAAUCUGAAUUCGAGUCCCAGCUUCCUCAUCACCAAACCAUCUUAGCAAGUCCUUUCUCUGGCUUGUAUCAGUGGGAGGGGUGUCAGAUGACAACAUAGGCUCCUCCUGGCUCCAGUUUUGAGAAUGUUAUUGAAAUCCUUACCUUUACAGCCAGAGUUAUAACCAGGUUCCCACUGUAGAGUCUUGACUUAAAAAAGAAAGAAAAGAAAGGAUAAAGCUCUGUUGCCAACAUCACCCUGAUACUUAAAUCAUACAAAAAUACUAUAAACAAAGAAAGUUACAGGCUAAAUCACUGAUGAACAUAGAUGCAAAAAUCCUCAACAAAAUACUAGCAAACUGAAUCCAGCAAUACAUUAAAGGGAUCAUACACCAUGAUCAAGAGGGAUUUAUCCCAGUGAUGCAAGGAUUUUUCAGUAUGUCAGUGUGAUAUACCACAUUAACAAAUUGGAGGAUAAAAAGUAUAUGAUCAUCUCAAUAGGUGCAGAAAAAGCUUUUGACAAAAUUUAACCUCAUUUAUGAUAAAAAAAAAAACCUUCCAGAAAGUGAGCAGAGGGAACCUACGUCAACAUAAUAAAGGCCAUAUAUGACAAACCCAUAGCUAACAUCAUUGUCAAUGGUGAAAACCUGAAAGAAUUUCCUCUAAGAUUGGAAACAAGAUGAGGAUAUUCACUCUUACCAUUUUUAUUCAACAGAGUUUUGGAAGUCCUAGCCAUGAAAAUCAGAGAAGAAAAAGAAAUAAAAGGAGUUCAAACUGGAAAAGAAGUAAAACAGUCAUUGUUUGCAGAUAUGAUACUAUACCUAGCAAAUCCUAAAGAUGCUACCAGAAAACUACUAGAGCUCAUCAAUGAAUUCAGUAGGGUUGUAUAAUACAAAAUUAAUACACAGAAAUCUCUUGCAUUCCUAUACACCAACAAUGAAAGAUCAGAAAGAGAAAUUAAGGAAACAAUCCCAGGAGUUCCCGUCAUGGCUCAGGGGAAACGAAUCGGACUAGCAUCCAUGAGGAUGCAGGUUCGAGCCCUGGCUCUGCUCAGUAGGUUAAGGAUCCAGAAUUGCCACGAACUGUAGGUCGCAGACAUGGCUUGGAUCUGAUGUUGCUGUGGCUAUGGUGUAGGCUAGCAGCUACAGCUCUGAUUCGACCCCUAGCCUAGGAAACUCCAUAUGCCAUGGGUGUGGCCCUAGAAAGAAAAAAGAAAAAAAAGAAACAACCCCAUUUAUCAUUGCAUCAAAAAGAAUAAAAUACCUGGGAAUAAACAUACCUAAGGAAGCAAAUGAUCUAUACUCUGAAAACUAUAAGAUACUGAAGAAAGAAAUAGAAAAUGACACAGAUAGAAAGACACUAUGUUUUGGAUUGGAAGAAUCAAUAUUAUCAAAAUGACUAUACUAUCCCAGGCAAUCUACAGAUUGAGUGCAAUCCCUAUCAAAUUACCAAUGGUACUCUUCACAGAACUACAGUAAAAUAUUUUCAAAAUUGUAUGGAAACACAAAAGACCCCAAAUAGCCAAAGUAAUUCUGAGAAAGGAAAACGGAGGUGGGUAUGUGUGGGUGGUGAAUCAGGCUCCCUGUCCUCAGACUAAACUACAAAGCUAUAGUAAUCAAAACAAUAUAGUACUGGCACAAAAGCAAAUAUAGAUCAAUGGAGCAGGAUGGAAAGCCCAGAAAUAAACCCAUGCACAUGUGGUCAAUUAAUCUAUGGCAGAGGAGGCAAGAAUGUACAGUGGAUAAAAGACAGUUCCUUCAAUAAGUGGUGCUGGGAAAACUGGACAGCUCCAUGAAGGAAUGAAAUUAUAACAUUCUCUAAUACCAUACACAAAAAUAAACUCAAAAUGGAUUAAAGACCUAAAUGUAAGACAAGAUACUAUAAAACUCUCAGAAGAAAACAUAGGCAGAACACUCUCUGACAUAAAUUGCUCCAAUACCUUUUUGGAUACACCUCUUAGAGUAAUGAAAAUAAAAACAAAAAUAAACAAAUGGGGCCUAAUUAAAAGCUUGUUUUAAGGAAAGGAAAAGGAAACCAUAAGCAAAAUGAAACAACAAUUCACAGAAUGGGAGAAAAUAUUUGCAAGUGAACUUACUGACAAGGGAUUAACCUCUAAAAUGUACAAACGACUCAUGAAGCUCAAUAUCAAAAAUCUCCGAACAUCCCAAUAAAAAAAUGAGCAGAUAUAAAUAGACAUUUUUUCAAAGAAGACAUAUAGGUAGCCAAAAAGCACAUGAAAAGAUGCUCAACAUUGGUAAUUAUUAGAGAAAUGCAAAUCAAAACUACAAAGAGGUAUCACCCCAUACUGGUCAGAAUGGCCAUCAUCAAAAAGUCUACAAACAAUAAAUGCUGGAGAGGGUGUGGAGAAAGUGGACCCUACAUUGUCAGUGGGAAUGUAAAUUUUGCACAGUCACUAUGGAAAACAGUAUGGAUGUUCCUCAGAAAACUAGAAAUAGAACUACCAUAUAAUUCAGCAGUCCCACUCCUGAGCAUCUAUCCAGGGAAAACCAUAAUUUGAAAAGAUACAUGUACCCCAAUGUUCACUGAAGCACUAUUUACAAAAGGCAAAAUGUGGAAGCAAACUAAAUGUCUAUUGACAGAGGAAUGGAUUGAGAAGAUGUGGUAUACACACACAUACACACACACACACACUGGAAUAUUACUCAGCCAUAAAAAGAAUGAAAUAAUGCCAUUUGCAGCAACCAUGGAUUGACCUAGAGAUUAUCACACUGAGUGAAAUAAGCCAGACAAGGAUACAUAUACUAUCACUUAUAUGUGGAAUCUAAGAAAAAUGAUACAAAUGAACUUAUUUACAAAACAGAAACAGACUCACAGACUUUGAAAACAAAUUUAUGGUUACCAAAUGGGACAGGUGGGGCAGAGGGAUGGAUUGGGAGUUUGGGACUGGCAUAUGCUCACUAUCAUAUAUGGAAUGGAAGGUCAAUGGGGACCUGCUGUAUAGCAGAGGGAAUUCAACUCACUAUUCUGUGAUGACCUAUAAAGAAAAAGAAUCUGAAAAACAGUGGAUAUGUGUAUGUGUAUAACUGAAUUGCUUUGCUGUACAGCAGAAAUUAAUGCAAUAUUGUUAAUCAACUAUACUUCAGUAAAAUUUUGAAAAAACACACAAAAAAGCACUAUUGAGGUGCAGUUGGCAUACAACAAACUAGGAACCUUGACCUCUGGUCAAGGCGGAGUAAAGGGAGUAGAGUCGGGACUCUGGAAGGUCUUCUACAGCCUCACCUGUUAGAGAAGAUGCAGUGGUUUCCCAACUGAUGCCUCUCCAGGCCCAGAACGUCACCCUGAUUAGAGAAAGCGGCACCAUGUUUUCUAAUUAUCCCUACAAUUCUGACAAGGCCAUUGUUCCUUAAGUCUAAAGGGAUUUGAAUUCCUUCUAAUCAGGCUGGGCUCAUGUCACACAGCGCUGGCUUUCAGAUUUCCCAUUAUUGGAAGUGCAUUAACAUUUCCCAAAGGUCUUAAUGGGGCUAAGAGGGGCCAGCAAUAGGGAGAGAAGAAACACAGAGAGGGCGAUGGGAACAUAAAAAUAAGAACUAAGUCUUGGGCAUCCUGGCUCUUUUUGUAAAGGAGCAGGUUUUGUCCAAUUCUUGCACGGUUCCCAAGAGAUCCAAAAAGACAGAGGCGCAUGAGAUGAACCAAACAGUGGCAACACCCAAAGCCCAUCUGUGAAGGUGGGAUAAAGCAGAUUAAUCCUAUACUUAGUUUACAAGUAAAGCCUUCCAGCUAAUUCUAGAUUAUCAACCAUGUAAUCAAUCACUCUGUGCCCCCUGAAAAUCACGUUAUAAAAAAAUAACUAAUGAUGCAACAAAAGUCCCCACAAGACCAGCUUCUCAUCCUCUGCACUACUGGCAUUUGGGGCCACAGUGUUCUUUGCGGGGGGUGGGGGGGUGGGGGGGGGGGCUGUCCUGUGUGUGUAGGAUGUUUACUAGCAUCUCUGGUCUCUAUUCAUUUGAGGUCAGUAGCACCCCACCUCUAGUUAUGAUCACAAAAAAUGUCUCCAGACAAUGUGGAAUGUCCCCUGGGGGUCAAAAUUAUUCGUUUUUAAUUGUAAAACAUUGUCCCAUUUUUUUUUAAGUAAUUAAAGACUAUUGUCCUAGAUUGUUAUGUGUCUGUUACCCGCCAAGCCCUGGGUUAAGGACCUUACAGACAAGAUAUUGUUCAUCUGCUGCUAUGGAUUAUAAGGGCUUUUUAGUUUCUUCUCAUAUUAUGGGAAACACAUAAAGCUACAGCAUCGUCUGAUUUCUCUAGUUAAUUGGCCGUUGUCCCUCUACCUCCCACUCCACCCAAUAGUAAAAAGGGGGCAGAAUCUGGCAGGGAGAGGAGCUGAGAUUCCUGACCCUGUCAUUUCCAAAUCAGGAGUGUGCCUUCGGAAUCCUUCUCACCCUGUUGGAGCCUCAUUUCUAAAAUGAAGAUAAUGAUGCCUGCCUUACAAGGCUGUGAAGCUCAGAAACAACCAAUUUGGGAGGAGAGAACAUGGCUGCUUUGCUUUCCACUGUCCUGUCAGGGCCUGGCUGCUGGGCCUGGUUCAGAGUAGAUGAUCACAAAUGCUCCUGGAAUGAAUAGACUGAUGACAAGAAAUGGCAGCCUCUGCCACAGGCCCUGGCACCCGUGUGUCUGAUAAACACUGCCUGGCUGUGCCUGCAAUGCCUACAGGCAAAGGGCAGAGGCAGCAGCAGGCAUCCAGAGGCUGUAGAGAGCAGGACUUAAACCAGAACUGCCUCUGCUCUUGCAGAGUUUGUGAUCCAGGAGGAUGGCAAUGACAAUGAACAAGAAUUGCAAAUACUAAUAAAUUACAAGUGUGAAAAUUACUGCAAAGCGGAGGUUCAGAGUCACUCACAGCUCACAUUCACCCAGAUACACUAAUGGGAUCGUGGUUAACUAAGGAGCUGGGCUCUGGGAAGAUUUUAGGGAGGUUUCCAUUGCUUUUUAAGCUUAAAAAGUGAAAUUUAGUAGAAGAAAACAAUUCCAUUGAGCUUUUAAAUCCUUAAUAGGAGUUAAAAGUAAGGCAAAGAAAAUAAUCUGUUUUGUUUCAUCAAUAAGUGCUCUCUUUUAUUAAUGUCAUUGUCCUUUAAGAUUGGGAUUAAGGUUUGUCUGCCUUUGGAAAAGGUCACCUUUGCCCAAAGACUAAUGGAUGUCGGGAGUAAGGCAGACGCAGGCAUUAGGAAUGCCAUUAGGAGCCUGGGCUCUGUGAAGCUGUGUCCAAAUCCCACUUCUGCCAUGUCCCUGCUGUCACCCUCUCUACCCUGCCAAGCCUCAGUUUCCUUGUGUGUAAAGUGGAGAUGGUACUGCCGCACAAAGUUUUGUUGAGGAUUAAGAGAGCUAUGGUGUGUAUGGAGAGCACCUGGCUCCCAUGUAACACGAGGAGGGGUCAGUUGAUGAUAACCCCCUCCCCUCUUCCCUUUUCUUCAAGGUGGCCUGAGUCAGGCUGGGAGCUCUUGGAGGGGACAGCGUGGGAGCUCCUUCCCUGAGUGCCCCUUGGUUGUUUGUUGCCUAUUUGCUGGCAGACCUUCUCCUUUCCAGUGGCUGCUCUGCUCCACUGGAAACUACAUUACCCAGGAUUCCUGGCAGCAGGCUUCAGGCUAAUUUCUAUCUGUAGGAGCACUGAUGGGAGAUUGGAAGGUGGGAAGAAAGGAGAAGCCAGGGUGUUUCUCCAUCUCUUCUUCCCUCUUCUGUUUUGAGGGUGGGUUUGUUUGUUUGUUUUGUCUCCUGUGAUGGUCCAGCCCUGCCUGGCAGCUGGCUUCUUAUAAGCACCUUCCUCCUGAUCCCUCUAUCCCUCUGGGUGGUACCAGCAGCAUCCUGCUGUUGCCCAGCUCCCAGCUGCUUCACGUCUCCUCCUAGGCUUCUCAGCUCUCCCAUCUUCUGGGUAAGCAAUUCCCUGUACCGAAUCCCCUCCAUGAGAGAUGCCUAGCAUGGCUGUUUCCCUGAUAGGAGCAGACACACCCAGAUGUGUCUGCAGCCUCUGACCAUGGCAGGAGCUUGCUAAUCUCUUCCUGGCUGAAUGCAUUUUCUGUUAAAAUAGCCCCAAAAAGGUGGAAUUUGAUCACCUUUUUCAGGCCUUCUCCUUGGUCCCCCUUCACUUUCCACAACUUUAGCAAACCAGAAGCAUGAGGAGCAACUGAAGUGAGAGCCAGCCCCUAAAAAAAUCUGUGACCAAAUCUUGAAAGUUCUGUCUAGUUCAUUUCUAUUUCAUUUUCUUAAGCCCUG
rnacentral:lncRNA from 1 species